AGCAAGUUCCGAGCUGUGGUGAGAUUUGCCAGAAGUUGGAUAAGUCCCCCGGCCCUCCUUCGGCACCCCUUCGGCACCCGGACGCGACGGCUACGGAGGAUGAGUAACACCAGUUGAUUAGAUUCACGAACUGAUGGCUUCUGGCAAUUAACGGUGACGGACCCGAGAAAUUCCGCCCUUCCCAGAAGUUGACGCGUAAAGGACGUGUCGUUGCUCGGCUCGGGGGUGUUCAGCCAGUCGUUCUGAAAGCGAGGGAAUUCUGCGAGCGGCUCUUUGAACCUGAUUCCCUCCCUGAUUGCAGGUAUCUGUGUCCCUGGAUACGUUUAAACGCCGCGCCAAACGGGGAUGUAAAUGGACCUCGCCUCACGCCGUGAUGGAUAAAAAUAAUAUACACACAAAUAUGUCUUCAAAAAAUGUGUAUACCAAGAUAAAAAAAUUUUCGAACAGAAAAUCAGUUAUUUCAUAAACAACAUCUGUGGAUUGUCCGAAAGUUGAGGAUUUAAUGGGGUGGACUACUUUGACGGUUCAAUAAAACUGUUGAUUUAUAACAUUUA